rnacentral:lncRNA from 1 species
CCCUAUUCUUCGUACUUUGCACCCAUUCAUUUUGGAGGAAAGGAGAAGCAAAUAAGUAGAAUAUGUGUUCGAGAUAUCUUUACAUACACAUCCCGAAGAUAUGAGAAGGAAAACACCCCUUCUUUCAUCUCCAGGACAGGAGCCAGAGUUGCGACGAGGUGGACUCUAGAACUGCAACAGGUGAACCGCAUCGCUGAGCUCCUCGGCCAAGUUAACGGAAGGUGUAGGAGAGGAGGAAAAAGGAACCGAAACAUGAGAGAUCUCUCACUGAUCAGGGUAAUCCGAAGUGAGACACCGAGAUUCCAGCUCCAGUCUGUUCUGAGUGCCUACGCUCAGCUCUUGAAAGGGGUUCGGUUCAGCUUGGAAAUCCUUGAUUUAGAGACUGGUUCCCAGAGGUGGUACUAAUCUGAGUGAAAACCCAGCAACCAGGUCUGGCAUAUACACAGACCUCCAUAGACUUGCUCAGAUGGUGGAACUUUUCUACAAGAUGGGAAGCCUGCUUGAACCAAUUUUGGGCCAACUACUUGGCAUUCCAUUUGUGACUACCUUGCUCACAACAUGAGAAGGAGAGAGGUCAUGGAGCCUUCUUCUCUCUGAAAUCAUGUUCCUUCCCCAAGAAUCGGAUCUCUGUUCCUGUCCUCUGCAUUUGUUCUCCCUUUUAGGUGAAAGAGAUCAGAGCUUCUCUUGUAAAUUUAAAAGGUCUGGAGGCUUUCAGGGCUCAAGUUUAUAGUGGUGUUGUUUCCUGGGUCUUAUCUAUCAGUCAUGCUAUAUAUGGACAUGGAUUUGAUGAGACUAAUGGGAUGUAGGAACUGAGCUAAGUUGAACCUGCUCUCCCCAGAGACUGAAGCAGUACAGGAAAAAUGUAUGCUCCUGAGGUACUGAAGGAAAUAUUUGUAAGUUUGUUCUAAAUUUCUCUCUCUGAAGAGAAUACACAUUUUUCUAUUACCUAUUAUGUGCUAAGCACUUUUCAAAAAUAUUAUCUCAUUUGAUUCUUACGACAACUCUACAAGAUAGAUUUGAGGCAAUUGGAGGUUAAGUGACUUGCUUGCAGUGACACUGCUCUUAAUUGUCUAAGGUAAGAUUUGGACUCAAGUCUUCCUGACUCCAAGUCCAGUGCUUUAUCCGCUGUGCUACCAUUCUGAAUAAUUAUAGUUAUUUCUGCCUCUGAAGAAAAUAUCCUCUGCAAAAGCUAAUUGAUGUUAAGUGGUUAAAUGGAAUUUGAGAAUGCUAGUAACUGACACCUAACUGUGUUGGGGGAAUAGUAAUGAGAACAAGGUAAGUAGGGGCUCAAGCCAAUGGCUUUAGAAAGAACACCCUUUCACCACCCGGUUACCUAGCUUUCCAAUGGGAUGAUAUAACCAGAAAGGCUCUGGGAGAGGGAUCCAAAGCAUAGAUGCUACACAAGGAUGAAGAAAGAAGCU